AAACUCAAAUGAAUUGACGGGGCCCGCACAAGCGGAGGAACAUGUGGUUUAAUUCGAUGAUACGCGAGGAACCUUACCCGGGUUUAAAUGGGGAGUGACAGGUGUGGAAACAUGCCCUUCUUCGGACACUCUUCAAGGUGCUGCAUGGUUGUCGUCAGCUCGUGCCGUGAGGUGUCGGGUUAAGUCCCAUAACGAGCGCAACCCACGUCGUUAGUUGCCAUCAGGUAGUGCUGGGCACUCUAACGAGACUGCCGGUGUAAACCGCGAGGAAGGUGUGGAUGACGUCAAAUCAGCACGGCCCUUACAUCCGGGGCUACACACGUGUUACAAUGGACGGUACAGAGGGCAGCUACUGGGCGACCAGAUGCGAAUCUCGAAAGCCGUUCUCAGUUCGGAUCGGAGUCUGCAACCCGCCUGCAUGAAGAUGGAGUUGCUAGUAACCGCAGGUCAGCUAUACUGCGGUGAAUACGUUCCCGGGGCUU
rnacentral:rRNA from 1 species